CAGUCCACCGUGGGCUUUGAAAACGCUUUCCUUGAUAAAAUUUAAGCGUUUUAUAAGAGGAUGCCGGGGAAGGUUUUCCGGUUUACCCGGAGGGCUUGUAGCUCAGUUGGUUAGAGCGCGCGCUUGAUAAGCGUGAGGUCGGAGGUUCAAGUCCUCCCGGCCCACCAGUUUAUCCAUUACUUUCAUAAGUGCUUUUAAAAAAUAAGUACUUCUAAAAAGAUUGCUUCUAAAAAGCUAUCAAAAUUGGCAGGCUUAUUGCUUUUGUGUGAGUAAUCCAAAGUUAAAGCAAAUUAAUGGCAAAAAAACAUUCAAAUGCUAAAUACUAAGGAGUCAAAAUUCCUUGCAAAGUGAUUUUUACAGCGUCCAUUUGGUUGAUAUAAAUCCAAAUGCUCAUAGACGUCAAUGCCUAUAUGAAACUAUCGGUUCAAUCAUAUCGCUUUGAGUUAUAUAGAUUUUUAAUCCCUCUUUUGAUCGUUUUAAACGCUUUAUUCUGAUUUAGGGGCCGUAGCUCAGCUGGGAGAGCACCUGCUUGCAAGCAGGGGGUCGUCGGUUC
rnacentral:misc_RNA from 1 species